rnacentral:lncRNA from 1 species
CUGUUUUUCUAUCUCAACCUUCAUGUCCAUAAGACUGGGAUGCAUCGAGAACAAGAAAUCUGGAAUGACAAACCCUUUAGGAUGUCUAUGGUUUCAAAACUGAGUAGGAUGGGUUAGAGCCAACUCAGAAAGGUGAAAUAUGUUUGUUCAAUUUUUAUAUUUGGUUCAACAGAUGAUUAGAACUCUUUUGUUUGGAUGGAGAGAUACGAUGGGAUGGAAUGGUCCUAUGCCAUGCUUGGAUG